GUUGCGAAAUUCAAAUUUCGCUAGGGACCUAGGGUAGCUUGCCAGCUAUAACAUGUUAGCUAGCUGGAAACUGUUUCGUUGUUGCUAUCUAGUCAUUUAGCUAGCUUAUUAUUAUUAUGGUCGCUGAUCUGUUUCGCUAGGUAGUUAACGUUAAGUUCAGAGUUGAAAAUGGACAACUUGACUCUACUGGAGGCCUCGUGUCUUUCUCCAAUGAGCAACAUCACAUCACCCUUGGAUUUCACCCUGCUCACACCCUCCCAACUGGGUAUCUCCACUCAAAGCUUCACGCCAUCUUCUAACGUCAAAGAAAAAUCUCGCCUAGCUCAGCUGAAGGUGAAGCGGAGGUCCAAUGUUGGGGUACGGAGUUCACCAGAGACCAACUCCCUAAUCCGCUACAUUGCCCAACAAAGGAUGAAAACUCCCCCCACAACACCACAGGAUACCCAAGCCAUCCCCUUCUUUCCCAGAGUCCCCUCUACUCUAAAGCAGAAGAUGGCCAUCUUCCAGAGCAUUAUGAAUGUGGAGAAUGAAGCAGUGCUGAAACAGGACAAUCACACAGGGGGAUGCAUCAAAACAAGAGAUGUUCUGUCUGAUGGUGGGUGGAGCUGUGAUGGUGGUGGGAAGGAGAACAUGUCCCCAGUGAGCCAGCAUCCCUCUCUGACUUCCCCACCCAGUAAGAGGCGCUGCACAGCACGCACUCUGGGGGAGUGUGUGGAGGAGAUUAGGGAGGCCACCACUCCUGUCCUCAAACGCACUGCCACCAUACUGAAGCAGCAACAGAACAAGGAGGUUGCAGUUGCCCAGAACAAGGACCAUCAGUCAGCUCUCAAUGUAGAACCUUCUAGUGUGUCUCUGUCACCAGCCCUGGGUACUGAUGCUGUGUCCCAGAUCACCCAGGGCAAGUCACAGCCCUCUCCUAUGAAGCAGCAGCACUCCACUCCCACCAAGGAGGAGCAGGACCAGGAGUGCUCUUUUGAACUGCACAGCCCCAGCCAACCUCUGGUUUUGCAUUCAGGGCGAGUCAGGACAACUCUGCCCCAGCUGUUCGCCAUGCCAUCUCUUUUGGAGAUGAACACCACUGAUGAAGCUGAUGGUGGUAACGUUAACUCCACUAUGCAGAAGCAGGUGCGUUUCGGGAUCCUACUGCCCCCUGAACUGUUUGACAAGAACCUGCCCCCCAGCACCCCUCUACGGAAAGGGGGAACCCCGGCCCGCGCCCUAACAUCUAGCAGGGGGUCCCAGCUGAGGUCACUGCUGAAGACCCCCUUAACCCUGGCUCAGCCGGACUUCAGCAGCCCCUCUCUAACUGGAGCCUCCCCACCCCUCACUAUGGGACCCUGCUGUGGGGAACAGGAGAGCGCCCACACUCAGGGAAAGAUCCCUUUCCCUUCAAUGGAAGAAGAUGUUGACAGUUCAUGGAUGGACAAUGCAGAGCUGGAGACUGGACCUCUGGAUCUGACCUCAGCUUUUCAAGAGGAGGACUCUGUUUGUGAGGAAAUGUCAGAUGCUGCCCCAGUGCCUGACCCUGCCCUGGAGCCAGAACCAGCCGCCACAGCCCGCUCUCGCAGCAGAAAGAGAAAGCAACCAGAGGAGAAGAGUGAGCCUGUGAAGAAGAGGUCGUCUCGUAUUGCUGCCAAGUCUGCCUGUGGGAGGAUGAAGGUGGACUCCAAUCAAGUUGUAGAAACAUCAAGGAUGAUCAAUGGAAACGGGAUGCACCGGAACUCAAUUUGAGUCUCAGCAAAGGGUCUGAAUAUUUAUAACUCAGCAAAGCGUUGCUUUGCGAAGAAGGCGGUGGACCGUUCUCUGUAUGGGAAGAGAGACUAUGCAUCCAAGAAUCCCACACUCAGUCCCAUCAGAGAUCCUGUCCUCCCUUAGCCACUCUCCUCAACACCCCCACAACUGCAAACGCACAGCCAAAGAAGACUCCAUCCUAUUAGAAGAUUACGUUAACAGUGACCCCGUCACCAGAGUGGUCACAGCUGCAGCCCUGUGGUCAAGCUGCUUCUGCCCCCCGGUCAGUGAGGACUCACCAGAAGACACCACCCCAGCUGCAGAGCCCUCUGAUGGACCUUCAGUAGAUUGCCAGAGCCCUGUAGGCUCCACCACAGACAGCUCUGGGACUGGAAGAGCAGCACAGAUCUGGAGAAGAUGGUCAGGUCCAACAAAGACCUCCAGAACCAAAAGGCAGAGUGUUAUUAGAGUAGGUAGAGGGAAGGGCAGGAAGGUCAGUGUUCCUGUUGAUAACUGGUUGAGUGAAGAGACCGAGGAGCAGGUAGAAAACUUUGAUACAGAACAAGACCCAACAGAAACAACCCAGCCAGAGGUUUUAGUGUCCAGCCCAGCCAAGCACACAGUACCUGGUGAACCUAACGCACCAUGUACCUCAGACCCUGUAGCUACAGAUCAAUGCACUGGCACACUUUCAGAUGCAGGUAGGAGAGGGGAUAGUCCAGCUAGAGCUGACACUGAUAUUACUACACCCUGCCCUCCUCCAGAUGAGGUUAGCACCACAGUGGCUCCCUCAGAGCAGAAGGCAGUGAGCCAUGUAGAACAGAGUCCAAACAAAGGCGGGCAGAGAGGAGCAGCUCAGGGCCCAGGCCGCUCCAGGGGUAGAAGGAGCUCUAUAUACGCCAGCAAAGUCAGAGAGGAGGAGCAGGCUUCCCAGCGAAAUGGGCCACAGGCAGUGGAGAAGAGAGGGCAGGAGGUGAAUGAUAACCACAGGUCAGGAAUGGAGCUGGGUAACGUUAUAGAACAGGCCUCCACCUCCUACCCAGACUCCCUCCUUCCCCCCUGGGCACAGGAAGAGUUCAACAUUGAUGAUGUGCUAAGGCCUCUCCCCUGCAGGGGGCAUCGGUCUGUCCGCCGCAGCCUGAGGAACCAGAGCCAGAGCAGCACCCUGGAGGCCUCCGGCCUGGCCUGGCUACCCCACACCUCUCUGGACUCCAUUAGUGCUGUCCGCAGGAAGACCAGGGGCAGACGCAGCUCCAUCCAGGCUCUACUACACCCUCCCCUGGAGGAAGUGGACCAUACUGACCUAUGAGCCACUCCAAUGCUAGCCUGUCCACUACCUGGACACUUUGGCUAUGAAUGAAAUGGCACCCUAUUCACUAUGAAGGUCGUUACUUUUCUUGACUAGGGUUGACCAUGUCCACCUGCUUUUGAUACUGUUAGAAAAGCUAUUGGUUGUUGUGAGUUUUAUAAAGCACUGUUUUUGUUUUUAGUAAUUAAGUAUUAUAAAUGGAAUAAGAUCUACCUUUUGUGAUUUAACAGUUUGGCAGUUAUUGUCAUUUACCAAGGCUCAUGGAGUAGGAGAUGUACAGACAGUGCAUUUUUUACUCUUUGAAUGUGUACCUCCUGUAUUCGUUAAAUAAAAUGGGGAUCUUCCAAACUA